rnacentral:rRNA from 1 species
GACGAACGCUGGCGGCGUGCUUAACACAUGCCGGUCGAACGGAAAGGCCCUGCUUUUGUGGGGUGCUCGAGUGGCGAACGGGUGAGUAACACGUGAGUAACCUGCCCUUGACUUUGGGAUAACUUCAGGAAACUGGGGCUAAUACCGGAUAGGAGCUCCUGCUGCAUGGUGGGGGUUGGAAAGUUUCGGCGGUUGGGGAUGGACUCGCGGCUUAUCAGCUUGUUGGUGGGGUAGUGGCUUACCAAGGCUUUGACGGGUAGCCGGCCUGAGAGGGUGACCGGCCACAUUGGGACUGAGAUACGGCCCAGACUCCUACGGGAGGCAGCAGUGGGGAAUAUUGCACAAUGGGCGGAAGCCUGAUGCAGCAACGCCGCGUGCGGGAUGACGGCCUUCGGGUUGUAAACCGCUUCCGCCUGUGACGAAGCGUGAGUGACGGUAAUGGGUAAAGAAGCACCGGCUAACUACGUG